AGUGAAGGUGUGUGGGUCGCGGCGCACGGUAGGCGCAAGUAGUUAUACUUUGUGGGCAUGUGAUCAGUCGAGGUUGGUCAUGGACGGCACUGAGACGACGAAUGGUUCAGUGACGGGUAUUGCUGCAGCCGCGGCAGUCACUCGAAGGGUGUGCCUGUGCGUUGCAAGUCCAGGAAUUUAGCAGCUGCUGUUGGGGGGAGGCGAGCGAGUGGUAUCGAUUACUCUGCAGUCGUAAGACAUGGGCCAGUGAGGACACGAUAGAACGUCCCCCUACCAGGUAUUUGUUUUGCGUUUCAUCCAAUCGUGGAUGUCGUGUAGCUUUAUGAAUCAAAUUUGAUAUGCCCGCCAGCCCGCCCGGAUGAAUCGGGUGCUCAGCCACAACGGUCGGAGCGAGUCAAGCAGUGGUAGAGUGGAGUUCGGAGCCAGCGCAAGAAGUCGGAGAACCAGGUGAAAGCGCAGGGAUGUAGAAGAGUCGCGAGGGCCAAAACUGACAUUCCAUUUUCUAUGCCCCUUGGAUACCCCAAAAGUGGCGUUCAGUCGUCAAGAAUCGAGCCCUGGCUACCAAUGCUAACCCCUCCCAAGUUCCUCCUGCCCAGCUUAUGGAUCGAUUUAGUUUUUCUGUGGAGAUUUAUUCUGCCCAGCUCUCUGACCGCCCGCUGCCCAGACUGGAUGAAAUCCCGCGGUGGAAUCCAACUACGAGGAGGUGCUUCCGUAGCGGGCGAGCGGAGCCAUUCAGUUUACUGUAGCCAUGUGAGUUACGGCUAGCAGUUGACGGAUGUUGGAUAUGCUGUAAAGGGGAACGAACGAUGCCCGUCCCCAGAUUCUCUCGCAUGGAUGAAUCCCCGCAAGUCGAUUAGGAGUGCCCCUGAAGUUUCUUGCGGGGAGCUGCCGCGGCGGACUGCUGGCUUGGGGUACGGCAGUUGAGUUUGAUCUGGUUGCAUCUUAUUGGUUCCGCGUCGAAGUUGCGAUUGAUUGCGAGAUGCGGUGCUGGGAUGGUGUGGCCUGGUGGUUUGCGAGCUCACGGGAUGGACGUGCUGGGUGGAUUGAACGGAGUGUACAGUCGGUGAGUGUGCCGUGUGGGUGUCGAUGCGAAGGGAUCGGAAUAAGGAGUAUUGCUCCUGCACCAGGCAGGUGGUGUUUGGUGCUUCGUCUCUGUAUGGUUUAGGUGUUCUUUGGCGCAGACAGAAGCCAGCGGCACUUUCAGCGAGCUAGACUAGACUACUCCCGGUUUCCUCUGACUUCUGUUCUGAUUGAUCUGAUUGGAGCUGGUCGGGGUAGAAUUCAGGGCACAGGUGAUCCGGCGACGGAGGAAUUAUAGUUUUCUCAGGGUCCGGUACCUCUGUUCACGCUUGCGAUGGAGGCACGAGAGAGGUAGUAGUGUGUUACUGUGCACACAGGGAUGCGGUGGGUUCGCAUUGGAUUACUUCGGGGCUUUCCAGUAUCUCCAAGUAUGUCCAAAGCAGAGCACCGAAAGGCGGUUACAGUAAGUGGCAUUGUUUGAUCCAAGGUAGACCAAGGACUUCGUCUGAAUACGUCGUCUAUAUAUCUCCGUUGCACUAAUAUGAUGAUCCUAAACCUCUUGUGAUCUUUUGCCGCAUACCAAACUUGAUACGUCUCACUUGUCAUUGGAGUUCGUUUAUGAGCAUUGGAUUCGUGAUGGUUCUGUCUGAACAUAAACAAUCUGCCUAGUAUGGUAUUUAAACAGCUUUUUCUCCUGUACGAUGGGAAUCUAUCCUUAUCUCAUACUGCAGGCCAACAGAGCAAGCCUGUGCUUCAAGGAUGAUAGAGGAAUCCAUUAGAGUUAGUAAUUAUGGUAAUUCAAGUCCAAGUGUUCAGGUAGAAGAGGGAAUAAGAGCCAGGUUGAUUGAUCACGGGAUUGACCACAGCAUCAGUUUUCUCGCAAAGCCUCGAUACCUAGCAAAACCGGUGGGGAUGAGAACCAAUUCAGGACUUCUGCACUAAUCAGGUCUUUUCAACAGAAUCGCCACGUUGCAGAAGUUAAUUUCCAAAUAUAGACAAAUCUCCUUAAGCCUUCAGGUCGCCACAGGCUGAUUCGAACUACUAGUCUUCUUGUGUUGAGAUAUUUACAAGCGGGCUUGAAUUUUAGUGGAAUUAGGCUUCCAAAGAUGAAUAUCAUAGACGGCCUUGUGCCCGGCGGUCUUGGGCAACGAGCGGUGUUCGUGUGCAACCACGAGGCGAAGAACAUCUACACCAAUUCAGCAUACCAGAUGAUGACCGGCGUGGAUUCUGCGGAGGAAUUGCUCAAUCUGGGUUGGAUCUCUUUUGUUCAUCCCGAAGAUUUGCCUGCUGUGUGGGCUCUUGCGUUCGGACACUUCUCCUCUCCCGCCGAUUGCAAUCGACAAAUUCAAUGCGAGUAUCGCCUAAUGCACAAGUAUAAGAAGAAUUCCUACAUAUGGGUGAACGUGCAAUCAGUGGACAUGACAGGCUGCCCUGGACUUGGCAGUUUUGUGGGGAUUUUGGAAGACAUUUCUUGGAAGAAAGAAGCGGAAGAGUCUCUUCGGCGCAGCGAGGAGCGCUACGUGCUUGCGGUGCGGGGCUCCAAUGACGGUCUAUGGGAUUGGGACAUGGUCACUAACCAGGUGUUUUACUCUCAGCGUUAUAAGCACAUGUUAGGACUUGGCGCUACGGAAGUCGACGAUUCUUUUGGAGUUUUUGAAUCCCGAUUGCAUCCCAAUCACCACGAUUCUGUGUUGGCGACCAUGAAAGACUAUCUGGCAACGAAGAGUGCCGAGUCUCCCCCAUUCGACGUGGAAACUCUCCUGCAGACGGGGGAUGGGAGCUACAAGUGGUUUCGUGUCCGUGGUCAGGCUCUCUGGAAUAAAGAUGGCAAACCGGCCAGAAUGGCUGGGUCUAUUACGGAUAUCACGGAGAGGAGGAAUUGGGAAGAGGAGCAAGCUCGACUGAUUGCGAAUCUCGCCAUUGCUCGUGACAAAGCAGAGAAAGCGGCUAAAGCAAGAUCCGAGUUCCUCGCUAUUAUGAGCCACGAGAUCAGAACACCGUUGAAUGGAGUCAUCGGCAUGGCUUCAGUUCUCCUGGAAACAGCUCCCACUCCUGAGCAACAGGAAUGCCUUGAAACCAUAAGAACCUCCGGGGAGUGCCUGUUGUCGAUCAUCAACGACAUCUUGGAUUUCUCCAAAAUUGACGCCGGGAAAUUGACCAUCAGUCCAGUGCAUUGUAAUUUGCGCAACGUGGUUGAAGACGUGGGAAGCAUGCUCGCUCUUAGGGCGGAGCCUAAGGGAGUGGAGAUGGUGGUUCGAUACCGUCCUGCUUUGUCUGCGGUCUUCGUGGAUGCCGUUCGGCUUCGGCAGGUCCUUAUAAACCUCGUGGGAAACGCAUGCAAGUUUACCCACAUGGGCUACAUCGCUGUCGAUGUGUCUCUCGUAUGCGAGAAAUGCCACCAGGAACUAGACACGGGAGACGUGAACUGCUCCCACUGCGGCGCCACUCCCUCCUCCGCCAUGAAUGCAGUGAAUUUUCCCGUGGCAAAUCCGGUUGGGGAAGCAGCUUCUGCACUGGAUACCAAGAUUAAGGACGGACACUGGGGCCCUGAUGACUCUGAGCCCGUUUUUGUGCACAACCCAGAGGACGGGCAGCGAAGAAACCGUGCUGUCCAGAACAUCCGAGCUCAAAUUACCCUCUGCGAAUCGUAUAAAGGUCUUAAAAUUGAUAAGGUCAACAAGACGGACAUAUUUGCGGAAGGCAUCGGGAAGGAAGUGAUGUCGGAUCCCAUUACGAAGGACUCCCAAGUGAAGCCACCUGUUUUCGCGAGCCAUAAUAAGAGGAAGAGACUAUAUGGGAGCAUGGGGGAUGAGAAAGGGCGGUGCAGCAAUGAGAAGUCGGUUGAUGCAGCCGAAUUGUGUCCGCAGAAUCCUUGCUGCUGCACUAGGGCGGCCGGAAAGAACUUAACGGAGAUGAGUUCCACCUCAACUGGUGCCACGACCGCUCGCAGCGAUGCGCAUGAUGACGAGGAAGCGAACUCGGCAAACUCUGACCGACCCCGAACAGUUCGUUGGUUUAGGUUCUCGGUGAUCGACACAGGCAUUGGCAUUGCGGCGACCGAACUGGACAUGCUGUUUGAGAAGUUCACUCAAUGCAGCACUUCAACGACGAGUACCUACGGCGGCACAGGUCUUGGCUUGGCAGUUUCGAAACGACUUGUGGAGCUCAUGGGAGGUAGUAUCGGUGUCGAAAGCGAGGAAGGCAAAGGCUCCAAGUUUACAUUCACCUUACCUCUUGAGUUGGACCCUUCCUCCGAGCAAGGAGACAAACCUCCUACGACCUCCAAUACCACGGAGGCCACUGCAAACGAUGCUGAAAUCGACAAGCAAAGGAGGCGUGUGCUGGUGGUCGACAACCAUGAAAUGACCAAGGAAGCCGUAUGUGACCAGAUACGCGCGUGGGGAUUGGACGCUAAGGCAUGCAGCAAUGUCGACGAGGCUCUCGGAGCUCUGAAACAUUCAGUUUCCAUUCGACAGCCUUUCCAAGUUGCUAUUGUAGAGCGAUCAGUAGUGGAGCUUUUCGGAAACGAGAUGAAGAAAGCUGCGUCAACAAACACGCUUGAAAUCAAGCCACUGGCGGUCGUCAUGCUGGGUCGGGUAGGGCACAGUCUUCCGUCGCAGCGACUUCUGGCCGACCUUGGGUGCUGUGCGUGCUUCAGUCGCCCCCCUCGACAAGCCUACCUCCGAGAUGCUUUGUCCGUGGCCUUCUCUGGAGGAGGUGAAUGUAUCCGAAUGAAACCGGAUUUUACUCUUGACAUGAUGCGAUCUGCGCCUCUGGGCUUGAGACGACUCUCGCCAACUAAAUCCAGCGGCGGGCUCCUCGAAGUUGCUUCAAAGAACAAAAACAGCGUGGACCAGCAGUUGGACGCUGUUACAGAAGGCAGCCCUUCUUCAGAAUCUACCGUCCUGAUGGAAGACCAACCAAUUAUCCGGAAUCCUAAUAUUCUCAUUGUGAUCUCUUUUUUGUGCAGGAGGACAAUAAAGUGAACCAAAUGGUUGCCCAGCGACUGCUCAACAAUUUGAGGUGCACCUCGGACGUAGCGUGCAAUGGUGUCGAGGCCAUUACUUUGCUGGAGCGCUCAAAUGAAUAUGAUAUCAUUUUCAUGGACUGUCAUAUGCCUAUUAUGGAUGGCUUCGAGACGGCACGGCUAGUGCGGCAGAAGGAUUGCAUCUCGCAUACUAUCCCUAUAGUGGCACUCACUGCAGCCACAUCCGAAGGAGAGGUGGAGAAGUGCAUGGCAGCAGGAAUGGACGACUACAUCAGCAAACCUGUGACCAAAGGAAUCCUGCAAAGAGCAUUGGAGAAGUGGGUUGGAAAAAAGUCCAGAUGGGUGUAAUAGCUUGAGCCUAUUGUGCUCUCUAGGCAUUCAUCGAUUCGUCAAAAUAGAGGAGUGAAGUCCUCAGGCACAAUUGUGCCUGUUUCUCGAGCUGGAAAUUUGCCUCGAGCGGCUGUUUCUAACAACAGCAACAAAAUCUCCUCCUGUCUCCGCAAUCACUCUCAGGCUCUUCCCACACACAAUCAAGGUCACAGAACUCUGCCUGGAAUUCGCGAGUUUGAGACACAAUUGUUCGCACAUGGACAUGAAGGUGCUCUGUGGCACAACUUCGUGAAACUUUUGAGGGACAGUGGAUAUGUCUCACAAGAUGUCGAUAUUCUUCUCCCUUUUCUGCCUUAGAUUGGCAGGAUUGGUUUUAUAUUGAUAUAAGUCUUAGGAAGAAGCUUGUAUUUUGUUGACUUGGCGUAAGCCACUCACAGAUUAUUCUACCUUUUAAAAGUUCGCGACAUCGUCUUUGAUAACUAAUCGUGUCGCAAAAGCCUGAUUGAGCGCUAGGAUAACUGCCCACUUUACGUUUGAAUCCAUGUGUUAUUCGAACACUAUCUAUUGUUAGGAACGUGGAAGAGAAUCACAGGAUUGUUAUCUCCACAAGGAAUUCUUUCUGCAAAAUGAUUUAGCUGCAUGUAUUCACAAUGAUUUC